CCGCCGGCCGCCUUCGUGCCCCGCGGCCGCGGCCUGCGCCCCUGAGGUGUACGCGGCUUUCCCGUACCGCGAGGGGGCCGCGCCUCGGCGCUUGCCUUCUGUCCGGCCGGGGGGUGGAGGGGGAGCGGCGGUUCCUUAGCCGUCCGUGGCCAGGACCCGGGACACUCGCUCGGCCCCGCUUCCCCGGCGCCGUCCCGGAGGCCGGCGGCGCUUCCCAAGGAGGGCCGGCAGGUCCCUUCAACCCUUCGGUUUGUUCCUGAUAAAUAUCUUGACACCGAGAAAGGCGCUAACAGGGUAAUUAUAAGCUGCCCCGUAGCCACGAAAGAACUUGAGCUUCUUGCUGAAAUCGCACCCAGCCGUUUCUCUCCACAGGGAGAGGGAGAAAGGAGGUCUGCAAGAGUUCAUGUUAAUAAUGACUUAAAUGCUCAUUUCCCACACAUCUUUGCUAGCGCAAACAACUAAAAUAGUCCACUUGCAAAGAACCUGAUUCAGCUUUCUUGCAUUCCACAAUAACAGAUGGAUUGCUAGACUGUUUACUGUUGCUUCCCACAAACUUCCUGUUAGUAAACUCCUGUAUUAUUUAUGAAACAGAAAAAUUACAAAGAAGUACCCUAGCUGAUUACUGCCUGCUGGUGAACCACUGCCAGAGAAACUUUUUAUACAAAUAUGUGUAUGAGAGCAAAGAUUGCUCCAGCUGCUGCUUUUUUUUUUGUUUUAUUCUUACAAUUGUUCAUUUCACAGUAUUCUGCAACCCUGACUGGACUCGUGGCCCUAUUGUGUUGCAUUCCCAGCAGGUAUUUCCUGCAUCCAGACAUUUACAGUCAAAUCGAGGCAUUCAUGGAUGUGUGAAGGAGCAAGGGAAAAACAAACAAACAAACAUAAAA